rnacentral:tRNA from 1 species
UCCUUGGUGACUCAGACAGUGAAGUAUCUGCUUGCAAUGCAGGAGACUCAGGUUCAAUCCCUGGGUUGGGAA